UGGGGAAUAUUGGACAAUGGGGGCAACCCCGAUCCAGCCAUGCCGCGUGAGUGAUGAAGGCCUUAGGGUUGUAAAGCUCUUUCGCCCGCGACGAUAAUGACUGUAGCGGGAGAAGAAGCCCCGGCUAACUUCGUGCCAGCAGCCGCGGUAAUACGAAGGGGGCUAGCGUUGUUCGGAAUCACUGGGCGUAAAGCGUACGUAGGCGGACGAAUAAGUCAGGGGUGAAAGCCUGGAGCUCAACUCCAGAACUGCCUUUGAUACUGUUCGUCUUGAGUCCGGGAGAGGUGAGUGGAACUGCUAGUGUAGAGGUGAAAUUCGUAGAUAUUAGCAAGAACACCAGUGGCGAAGGCGACUCGCUGGACAAGUAUUGACGCUGAGGUGCGAAAGCGUGGGGAGCAAA
rnacentral:rRNA from 1 species